rnacentral:pre_miRNA from 15 species
CUGCCCUGUUCUGAACACUGUUCUAUGGUUAGUUUUGCAGGUUUGCAUCCAGCUGUGUGAUGUUCUGCUGUGCAAAUCCAUGCAAAACUGACUGUGGUAGUGAAAAUUCUGUAGAAAAUUC